rnacentral:rRNA from 1 species
GAUGAACGCUGGCGGCGUGCCUAAUACAUGCAAGUCGAGCGAACAGACCAGGAGCUUGCUCCUCUGACGUUAGCGGCGGACGGGUGAGUCACACGUGGAUAACCUAACUAUCAGACUGGGAUACCUUCGGGAAACCGGAGCUACUACCGGAUAAUAUAUUGAACCGCAUGGUUCCAUAGUGAAAGACGGUUUUGCUGUCGCUUAUAGAUGUCUCCGGGCAGCAUUCGCUAGUUGGUAAGGUAACUGCUUACCAAGGCGACGAUGCGUAGCCGACCCGAACGGGUGAUCGGCCAGCUGGGAAGUGAGGAAGGUUCGAGACUCCUACGGUAGGCAGCAGUAGAGAAUCUUCCGCAAUGGGCGAAAGCCUGACGUAGCAACGCCGCGUGAGUGAUGAAGGUCUUCUGAUCGGAAAGCGCUGUUAUUAGGGAAGAACAAAUGUGUAAGUAACUAUGCUCGUCUUGACGGUACCGGAUCAGAAAGCCACGGCUAACUACGUG